AUCAACCAUCACUCCUCCCCUCGUCCUUCCCAGAGCCCAUCCUGCAUUCAGUCCGUGCACAUCUGCAACGUUGCAGAUGUGCUGGAACCAAACCAUGACUGCUCUCCAGCAUUCAUCUCUUCAAAAUGAAAGAUCAAACUUGUCCAAUCCAGUCCUUUCUGCCAUCGAGCCAGACCACCUCCACCCACCCGGGAUGUCGAUGGCCAUCCUGCUUUUGAGGUUCGUCGUACAGUGGAUUCUCUUUGUACAGCACGUGGCAUGCAGUGCCUCAUCGACUGGGAGAAGUAUGGUCCUGAGGUUCGCUCCUGGGUACCCCGCAGUCUCAUCCUCCACUUACCCUCAUCAAGGACUUUGAGGCGUCCAUCCUGUCUACCUCCGGAUGGCUGCCACAAGGCGCUCCUUGAGGGAGGAGUGGGGGUGAGUGAUGUCAUGUCACGAAGCUGAGCAAUGGUUUGUGUUAUGUGUGCAGUUUCUUUCUCUUACCUCUUCCUGCAGGAUGCAACAGGCAGGUGCAAUCAAACAGCUGAGAAUCAUCUAGGCUAUUCAAGGAAGAGCUCCUAAGCAGCAGGAACCUUGAAGGAGACAUCAGAUUGUUAACUCACCUGAGUGGUAAUCAGACCAGCAGACCACGUCUCUUACCUGAAUUUUUGUGCUCCACUCUCCCAGAGUGGAUUUACCCUGAAGUCCCAGACCUGGAUUUUUCCCGGCUUCUGGUCCAUGUUCAAGUUCAUGUUUGGACGGAAGUGCUUCACUGUGCUUACCCGACCAAGAACCUCCUUGAACUUCCUCGAGCCUGCGUGUUAAGGAACGAACUUACCACUUCUUCUGUUUACCAGUUUGGAAACCUUCUGCCUGUCCACACACCUCCACCAGGACAAAGAACUGAUAAAACCUAUAUUUCUGCGCUACAACCUCCCCUGUCAAUCUCAAUCUCCAUGGCAGGACUCACUUGACAUGACCCGACCAUCAGACAACAGACCCCUCAACGACAUCACUGUUUUCUACAGAUUGUCAACAAACCUGGAAACCUGAACUCUGCUUCCGUAAUUGUUGCCUGCAACAGAAUCACCUGGUUAUCUGCCAUGACACCAUUUUAAAAAGGAAAGGGCACACAG